rnacentral:rRNA from 2 species
UUCUAACGUGGACCCGUUACCCGGGUUGCGGACAGUGUCUGGUGGGUAGUUUGACUGGGGCGGUCUCCUCCUAAAGAGUAACGGAGGAGCACGAAGGUUGGCUAAUCCUGGUCGGACAUCAGGAGGUUAGUGCAAUGGCAUAAGCCAGCUUGACUGCGAGCGUGACGGCGCGAGCAGGUGCGAAAGCAGGUCAUAGUGAUCCGGUGGUUCUGAAUGGAAGGGCCAUCGCUCAACGGAUAAAAGGUACUCCGGGGAUAACAGGCUGAUACCGCCCAAGAGUUCAUAUCGACGGCGGUGUUUGGCACCUCGAUGUCGGCUCAUCACAUCCUGGGGCUGAAGUAGGUCCCAAGGGUAUGGCUGUUCGCCAUUUAAAGUGGUACGCGAGCUGGGUUUAGAACGUCGUGAGACAGUUCGGUCCCUAUCUGCCGUGGGCGCUGGAGAACUGAGGGGGGCUGCUCCUAGUACGAGAGGACCGGAGUGGACGCAUCACUGGUGUUCGGGUUGUCAUGCCAAUGGCACUGCCCGGUAGCUAAAUGCGGAAGAGAUAAGUGCUGAAAGCAUCUAAGCACGAAACUUGCCCCGA